rnacentral:rRNA from 1 species
CCUACGGGAGGCAACAGUGAGGAAUAUUGGUCAAUGGACGAGAGUCUGAACCAGCCAAGUCGCGUGAAGGAUGACUGCCCUAUGGGUUGUAAACUUCUUUUAUAUGGGAAUAAAAUGUUCCACGUGUGGGAUUUUGUAUGUACCAUAUGAAUAAGGAUCGGCUAACUCCGUGCCAGCAGCCGCGGUAAUACGGAGGAUCCGAGCGUUAUCCGGAUUUAUUGGGUUUAAAGGGAGCGUAGGUGGAUUGUUAAGUCAGUUGUGAAAGUUUGCGGCUCAACCGUAAAAUUGCAGUUGAAACUGGCAGUCGUGAGUACAGUAGAGGUGGGCGGAAUUCGUGGUGUAGCGGUGAAAUGCUUAGAUAUCACGAAGAACUCCGAUUGCGAAGGCAGCUCACUGGACUGCAACUGACACUGAGGCUCGAAAGUGUGGGUAUCAAACAGGAUUAGAUACCCGUGUAGUC